rnacentral:rRNA from 1 species
UACGUAGGGUGCAAGCGUUAAUCGGAAUUACUGGGCGUAAAGGGCGCGUAGGCGGGAUGGCAAGUCGGUCGUGAAAGCCCCGGGCUCAACCUGGGAAUUGCGAUGGAGACUGCAAGGCUUGAAUCUGGCAGAGGGGGGUAGAAUUCCACGUGUAGCAGUGAAAUGCGUAGAGAUGUGGAGGAACACCGAUGGCGAAGGCAGCCCCCUGGGUCAAGAUUGACGCUCAUGCACGAAAGCGUGGGGAGCAAACAGG